GAGGAUGUGGCUCAGUGGUAGAGCACUUGCCUAGCAUGUGUGAGACACUGGAUUCAAUUCUCAGCAUCAUAU
rfam:Ictidomys tridecemlineatus contig054149, whole genome shotgun sequence.